UACGGAGGGGGCUAGCGUUGUUCGGAAUUACUGGGCGUAAAGGGCUCGUAGGCGGCCAACUAAGUCGGAUGUGAAAUCCCCAGGCUUAACCUGGGAACUGCAUCCGAUACUGGAUGGCUUGAAUCCGGGAGAGGGAUGCAGAAUUCCAGGUGUAGCGGUGAAAUGCGUAGAUAUCUGGAGGAAUACCGGUGGCGAAGGCGGCAUCCUGGACCGGCAUUGACGCUGAGUGAGCGAAAGCCAGGGGAGCAAACGGG
rnacentral:rRNA from 1 species